GAUGUCUCCUGGGGCUAAAUUACAGCAACAUUCAUCCUAAACCAGGACUGCCGUGUUAUGUUGGCAAAAAUCUUUACUCCAAAGUAAUGUUGCCGAAUAUCUCUGGUUGUGAGAUUUGAAAAUAGUAAUUUCUUAAUAAAUGGAUGUAUUUGAAAUA